AACGAACGCUGGCGGCAUGCCUAACACAUGCGAGUCGAACGAGACCUUCGGGUCUAGUGGCGCACGGGUGCGUAACGCGUGGGAACCUGCCCUUAGGUUCGGAAUGACUCCCCGAAAGGGGUGCUAAUACCGGAUAAUGUCUUCGGACCAAAGAUUUAUCGCCUUUGGAUGGGCCCGCGUUGGAUUAGCUAGUUGGUAGGGUAAAAGCCUACCAAGGCGACGAUCCAUAGCUGGUCUGAGAGAAUGAUCAGCCACACUGGGACUGAGACACGGCCCAGACUCCUACGGGAGGCAGCAGUGGGGAAUAUUGGACAAUGGGCGAAAGCCUGAUCCAGCAAUGCCGCGUGAGUGAUGAAGGCCUUAGGGUUGUAAAGCUCUUUUACCCGGGAUGAUAAUGACAGUACCGGGAGAAUAAGCUCCGGCUAACUCCGUG
rnacentral:rRNA from 1 species